AAAAAUAUAUAAGCACCACUUGUCCACUCUCGCAAGCAGACCAUAUGAGCAGUUUGAUGUGCUCUCCGAACUGCUACUUGUAUCUCCUUUUGCUUCUCUUGUUUUUUGCACUUCGUGCACCUAGCUUUGACCCUCUCUUUCGCCACAUCUAGACUUCUACCCAUCCAUCGCCUCGCGGAGGCGGAUCGUGCAGUCUGUCGGCUGAAGCUUGAAGGUAAGCGUUUCCCAUAUAUGAAAGCAGCACAUUUAUUUGGUUUACAUAACUACGAACAGAUCAGUUGAUCGCCACCACAUACUUCAGAGCAUACAUGGACUAGCCGGCUCCUCCUCUGUGGGUAGUCUGUGAUUCCCAAUCAAGCCGAAAUAAAACUGUCAUGUUUUUCAAAGGUAGGGUCUUCUAAGAGGUUGUCCCAGGAAAAAAUCAUCUGUAGCCUUAAUUUGCUAGUAAUAAUGUCUAGGUUGUGUUCUAUCAUCUCAAUAGAAAACAACCUAAAUAAAUGCCAUCUAGUGAAGUAAUAUGCACAAGAGAAGAACUUGUAUGAUGUAAUUUUUCAUAGUCAGCAAAAUAACCAUAGUUGUGUUUAGCAGAUGCUCUCGCCUUGGCUAGAUCAUUAACUCUCACAUCAUUUCUAUCUUUGAGCCUAUCACACCUACUUGGGACCCCCAUCUCCAUCAGCAUUGACAUCUACUCCCUCCAUUUUUAAACAUAAUUUCUUUUUUAAGAUUUCACCACGAACUACAUACAGAUGUAUAAAAACAUAAUUUAGAGUGUAGAUUCACUCAUUUUGUUUCGUAUCGUUGAUAUUCUUCCCGUGAUUCUUCCCAUUGAUGAACACAUGUUCUACUCUGGACACACGUACAUAUAGGCACCAGAUUCCAGAAUUAAUUCUGACACUUGACAGAGUAUUAUUCCAAGCUCCAUAUAAACACACACACAGUGUGUGUGAAGGAGUACAUUUAUUUGUUUUGCAUAACGGUCAUAUCAUUCAAACCAGAUCACCACAGACUUCAAGAGUAUACGAUCGACUAGCUGGCUAGCCGACGACGGGGAUGACAACGACACGCUGG
rnacentral:lncRNA from 1 species